rnacentral:sRNA from 1 species
GUCUGCACUUGUCGGGGAAGGGUGAGAACCUUCGACUAAGGUUCGAUUCGAGCGCAGCGAGAAAGCGUUGCCGCAGGCAACGACCCGAAGGGCGAAGCGCGCAGCGCUGAGUCAUCCUUCCCCCACCACCA